rnacentral:sRNA from 1 species
AUUGAAUCCCGACAUCACAUUCAGGUUCCAUGAUGCUAUCCCGGCAACUUUUACUCAUCUGUGUCCUUUCUACAGUGGUACUGCAUUACUUUACUGUAAAAGGUUCAAGUACUACUGAAACUCCAACCGAGACAACUUCAGCGUCAUCUGAUAGCUCAACCGCUGCAGCCGCUGCUUCUUCAACUGCAUCAUCUGAUAGUACAACGGCUGGUGGUGCAGCUACCACAACUGGUGGUGCUGAUACUACAGCUGGUGGUGCCGCUACCACAACUGGUGGUGCCGCUACCACAACUGGUGGUGCCGCUACCACAACUGGUGGUGCCGCUACCACAACUGGUGGUGCCGCUACCACAACUGGUGGUGCCGCUUCCACAACUGGUGGUGUCGCUACUACAGCUGGUGGUGCUGCUACUACAGCUGGUGUUGCUGCUUCAACUGGAAAUUCAACCGGAUCAUCUCAACAACAAGACAGCAGUGGUUGUAUAUACUACAUCAAUGGAGCCCUGCUUCUCGCCUCUCUCGUUAUGGCCAGAUUCUGGAUGAGCAACUGAUGCAGUUUUCCUUAUCUAUAGCUGUUAUAACUAUGCAAGGAAACCAAUGAAAAUGACCGCUACAAUGUAGUGCGAUGACUCUUACAAAUUGUUUUUACCGUCAAAUUUUGUUGCCAUAGAAUCAACUACUUUUAUUUUUACACAUUUCGCCUAGAUAACGACCGUCAGGUGAGCAGAAAAAAGAAAAAAAAAGAAAACUUGCUCAUCUGACUAACUUUUGUAAAGCGGAGAUGUUGAUUGCUUUGUUACAAUGUAUUUCUGAAUAAAUUUAAUAUUCUUUUUACUUG